rnacentral:sRNA from 2 species
CUCUGUUUAGCAUAACGAUAUCAAGUGCUGGGAGCACGCUAUGGUCCCGACACGCCUAAAGCAAUAACUUCGCCCUUUAUAGGCAAGCACAUCUGCUCGUCUGCAUCUGGACCACUUCUCCUGCGAGCCACUUCAACACUAGCAGACGAAGAUCACGGCGUUGAUUCACUGACUCUAUCUAGGAGUCUGCGAAGAGGGGUCCUUGCGUCGUGUAUUUUCCAAUACCGGAAUCCAGCUCGAUUCAUGGCAUUGGUUUAUUAUUGCAUGGACAUCCCUGGAAGGGAACCGAGCGCAGAAUAUACCAAGAAACUUACUUACAAUGUAACUGACAACCAACACAUGGGCAUACGCACGUCGCUUCACAUCUCACCGAUCUUCCAAGGUACCUGCAGUGUAUCCGCACGCCAUUAAGAACCCUGAAGUACCCCAGAAAUAUGGCGCCCCAUGCGCGGGAAAUGAAGUGUCCCGCAUGAUUUGUGCAUUAGGGUGAAUGUGUCCAUUCUUUUGGGCGAUCAUGGGAAUUAUGAGAUCAUGCAUGUCUCCAGAAAAAGAAAAGAGCAUAACGGUGUCCAACGCCCUUGACACCAGGA